UACGGGGGGGGCAAGCGUUGUUCGGAAUUACGGGGGGUAAAGGGUUCGUAGGUGGCCAACUAAGUCAGACGUGAAAUCCCUCAGCUUAACUGGGGAACUGCGUCUGAUACUGGAUGGCUUGAGUGCAGGAGAGGAACGCGGAAUUCCAGGUGUAGCGGUGAAAUGCGUAGAUAUCUGGAGGAACACCGGUGGCGAAGGCGGCGUUCUGGACUGCAACUGACACUGAGGAACGAAAGCCAGGGGAGCAAACGGG
rnacentral:rRNA from 1 species